AACUUCUGCCUCCAAAAAGAAAGAUGUGGACAAAAUCCUGAAGCUUCCAAAACAAAUGGGAACAUCAUGCUGUCUGUGGAUUCACUGACCUUUGACAGGCUACGGUGAGGCCGAUCUGGCGAGUGUGACUCGGGUGUACCGUACGAAGCGCAGCAAAAACCAAGGCAACCCGGAUAUCGAAGUCCUCCACGGAGAACGUAAAGGUAAUCUGCAUCUUCACAUUCAAAGCAAAUAUGAGCUGCUGACGCCAGCAUCUAUUUGUGCACGCGUCUGUCCUACACGCGUCGCUAGCUGAGCCCAGGAGGCAUAGAGGGGAAAAUCUGCGUUUUCGUUGCGGAUCAUAAAGUAGCAACCCCGGUGAGGCCUGUUGGUCCUUACAUCUGUUUGAUUGUUGGUUUAGUUCCUGGUUAAAAUCUAUUAAAUUGCUCCAAAAAGUAUCAAAAUAUAGAAAUCAUUAUUGAUAAUACUCGACCAAAUCACAUCUACGUCUAAUAUUAAGGUAAUGAAGUGCUAUCCAAACACGACCACCAAGCUAUGGCCGGAAACAAUUUAAUACAAAAUAAAAUGCAACAAGUUUAUUGUGGCUAAAUUCAACAAAAAAUAAAGAAAUUGCACGAUCUAUGACGGCGAAUUAAAGAAACAAGUCCAGUUGAAGUCUUGCACACUCCUUUGUGCUUCUUUGAGUGGCAGCUGAAAUACUGAUUGGGUGCUUUGAAAGGUGCCGUUUUACCCUCACUAUGUACAACAGAAAACAUCAGAGGAGCCAGCGAUGUCUCGCACACAGGCGUGCCUAACAUUUCUACCAUCACUUUGUCUUCCCUUCCAGCACAGCAGGACAGAAAGGCACAUGUGGGCGACUGUCAACCAGGCGAACGCGCAAUCUCUCCUCUCAGCCACAUGUUCCUAUCGUUGUAAUGGAAUACAUUCUUUAACGCAACCUUUGUAUUGACACAGCAACAGGUAUGAGGUUACUCUACUCUAAUGAGUGCUAUUUUCUGUAUGUAAAGAUAUAAACAUGUAAAUACCAAAGAUCAGAUGACUCUUUUUAAACUACAUCAUGACCUCCACCUACAGCUCUCUACGUGACCUCUGUGAAGAUAUGUUGACUGGAAAUACACCAAAGACUACAGAAACAAAUGGACACAACUGAUUUCUCAAAUUCACCGUAGGAAAAACAGUCACUGAGAAACUGUAACAAGUGGUUUUCACUUUGAGAGGACUUAAGAAAUAGCACAAGUCACUACGAGACAGAUUAUCUUUGAGUAUGAGCGUCCCUAUAGCUACAGCAAAUAUACUGAAAAGACCAAGUGGACCUCUGGGUUUCUGUUUCUCUACGUCAGCGGGAGCCCCGAAGAGACGGAAAUAGAAACGCAGAGGAAAUUCAUCACAAACUCUGUUGUGUGGUGGUUUACACACUGCCUUCCUAACAGGAAGGAAGGGAAUCAAACGUAAACAAAAAUGCCAAAUGAACAAAUGUGGAGCUAGCGUCUGUGGCGACCCGCCCGUGAAUACCGGAGCAGCUGAAAAUAUCGUAGAUCUUCUCCGAUACGAUAAACUUGAUUUGUUUGA